ACCUGCGGAAGGAUCAUUGUCGUGACCCUAACCAAAAUAGACCGUGAACGUGUCAUCAAACCGUUGAGUGACGGUCCUUGCACCGUCACUCGGCACAGGCCUCUGCCCUUUUUGAGGGUAGGGUCCACAACAGAACCCACGGCGCCGGAUGGCGUCAAGGAACACUGAUGUUGCUUGCACGGGGCUACGGCCUGCUUGCUGGACGUGCCUUGUGCUGCAAUGGUUUUUGAAUCCAUAAGACUCUCGGCAACGGAUAUCUUGGUUCUCGCAUCGAUGAAGAACGUAGCAAAAUGCGAUACUUGGUGUGAAUUGCAGAAUCCCGUGAACCAUCGAGUUUUUGAACGCAAGUUGCGCCCGAGGCCUUUAGGUUGAGGGCACGUCUGCCUGGGCGUCACGCCAAAAGACACUCCCAGAGCCAUCCUGUUGUGGGGCGUGGCAUUUGGCCUUCCGUGAACCUAUAAUGGCGCGGUAGGUUAAAGUUUAGGCUGCUGGCUAUGGUGCCAGUCGCAGCACUUGGUGGACGACACCCGUUGUUCUUGGAGCUGUGACUUGUAUUACUUCUAGCGACGCUUUGGCCCUUAGGACCCAUGGACCGCAGCGUUGAUCGCUCGGACCGCGACCCCAGGUCAGUCGGGAUUACCCGCUGAAUUUAAGCAUAUCAAUAAG
rnacentral:rRNA from 1 species